AUUGAACGCUGGCGGCAUGCCUUACACAUGCAAGUCGAACGGUAACAGGUCUUCGGAUGCUGACGAGUGGCGCACGGGUGAGUAAUACAUCGGAACGUGCCCGAUCGUGGGGGAUAACGAGGCGAAAGCUUUGCUAAUACCGCAUACGAUCUACGGAUGAAAGCGGGGAUCUUCGGACCUCGCGCGGACGGAGCGGCCGAUGGCAGAUUAGGUAGUUGGUGGGAUAAAAGCUUACCAAGCCGACGAUCUGUAGCUGGUCUGAGAGGAUGAUCAGCCACACUGGGACUGAGACACGGCCCAGACUCCUACGGGAGGCAGCAGUGGGGAAUUUUGGACAAUGGGCGAAAGCCUGAUCCAGCCAUGCCGCGUGCAGGAUGAAGGCCUUCGGGUUGUAAACUGCUUUUGUACGGAACGAAAAGCCUCUUUCUAAUAAAGAGGGGUCAUGACGGUACCGUAAGAAUAAGCACCGGCUAACUACGUG
rnacentral:rRNA from 1 species